rnacentral:pre_miRNA from 1 species
AGCUAGGGUCUGAUCCAAUGCCCAUUGACAUAAAUGGGAGUCUUUCCAUUAACUUUAGUGAGUAUUGGAUCAAGCCCAUGAUCU